ACUCCAUGAAUCCCUGUGGAAUGAAUCUACCAGGCAAGGCAUGCAGUUAAAGUGUGGAGGCAAAAAGGGAACCAACAACAGGAAAAUAACAUGACAAAGACAAGCCAAUACAUAUCAGUUAUAACCAUCAAUGUGAAUGGUCUCAAUUCACCAAUCAAAAGAAACAGACUGGCAGAAUGGAUCAAGAGGCAACAAUAUUUUGCAUAUAAAAAUUCAUUCAUCAUGCCGCGCUCCGGCGAGGCUGCGGCGCGGGGACAGGGCAAGGCCCGGGGCGCCUCACCGUACCCCGAGCGCGUGCCAUGCUCAGCCGCCGCGUUACCCCGCUACGCCAACCCUGGCCGUACUGCCCGCCAUGGCUCGCGCCGCACGGCCCCGGGCUGUAGCCGGAGGGAAGAUGCUGCAGCCCAAGGCCCGGAAGACCGAGUUCCUGGGCUGCGGGCAUCGCGGUAUGAUUUUCAACGAGCGGGACCAGGAGCUGAGAGACCUGGACUAUCAGAAGCACGCCUUUAAUAUGCUCAUCAGUAACCGCCUGGGCUACCACAGAGACGUGCCUGACACGAGGCAUGCAGCAUGUAAAGAGAAGUCUUACCCAGAUGACCUGCCCGUAGCAGUACUGUUAUCUGUUUCUACAACGAAGCUUUUUCUGCCUUGCUCCGCGCAGUGCACAGCGUGCUAGACUGCACGCCUGCCUCCCUGCUCCAUGAAAUCAUCCUCGUGGAUGACGACAGUGAC
rnacentral:lncRNA from 1 species